rnacentral:rRNA from 1 species
CAGCCGCCGCGGUAAUACGUAGGUGGCAAGCGCUGUCCGGAAUUAUUGGGCGUAAAGGGCUCGCAGGCGGUUUCUUAAGUCUGAUGUGAAAGCCCCCGGCUCAACCGGGGAGGGUCAUUGGAAACUGGGAAACUUGAGUGCAGAAGAGGAGAGUGGAGUUCCACGUGUAGCGGUGAAAUGCGUAGAGAUGUGGAGGAACACCAGUGGCGAAGGCGACUCUCUGGUCUGUAACCGACGCUGAGGAGCGAAAGCGUGGGGAGCGAACAGGAUUAGAUACCCGAGUAGUCUCUGUCUCUUAUAC